UGGCAUUCAGAAGCGAGAAUGUUGACAUGAGUAGCGACAAAGCGGGUGAGAGACCCGCUCGCCGAAAGUCCAAGGGUUCCUGCUUAAAGCUAAUCUGAGCAGGGUGAGCCGACCCCUAAGGCGAGGCCGAAAGGCGUAGUCGAUGGGAACCAGGUUAAUAAUCCUGGGCCAGGAGGAAGUGACGGAUCGUAGCUGUUGUCUGGUCUUAUCGGAUUGAUCAGGCUUCGAAGCGGUCCCUGGAAAUAGCCCUCCAUGAGAUCGUACCCUAAACCGACACAGGUGGACUGGUAGAGCAUACCAAGGCGCUUGAGAGAACUACGUUGAAGGAACUCGGCAAAAUGCCUCCGUAACUUCGGGAGAAGGAGGCCCCGUUGGUGGGCAACCACUGGCGGGGGGCACAAACUAGGGGGUGGCGACUGUUUACUGAAAACACAGGACUCUGCGAAGCCCAAAGGCGACGUAUAGGGUCUGACGCCUGCCCGGUGCCGGAAGGUUAAAAGGAGGAGUGCAAGCUCUGAAUUGAAGCCCCGGUAAACGGCGGCCGUAACAAUAACGGUCCUAAGGUAGCGAAAUUCCUUGUCGGGUAAGUUCCGACCUGCACGAAUGGCGUAACGACUUCCCCGCUGUCUCCAACGUAGACUCAGCGAAAUUGAAUUCCCCGUGAAGAUGCGGGGUUCCCGCGGUCAGACGGAAAGACCCCGUGCACCUUUACUACAGCUUCACACUGGCAUCAGGUCAGGCAUGUGCAGGAUAGGUGGUAGGCUUUGAAGCGGGGACGCCAGUUCCCGGGGAGCCUCCCUUGAGAUACCACCCUUGCCUUGCCUGAUGUCUAACCGCGGACCGUUAUCCGGUUCCGGGACCCUGUGUGGCGGGUAGUUUGACUGGGGCGGUCACCUCCCAAAGAGUAACGGAGGCGCGCGAUGUGGGCUCAGGUUGGUCGGAAAUCAACCGUCGAGUGCAAUGGCAUAAGCCCGCCUGACUGCGAGACUGACAAGUCGAGCAGAGACGAAAGUCGGCCAUAGUGAUCCGGUGGUCCCGCGUGGAAGGGCCAUCGCUCAACGGAUAAAAGGUACGCCGGGGAUAACAGGCUGAUACUGCCCAAGAGUCCAUAUCGACGGCAGUGUUUGGCACCUCGAUGUCGGCUCAUCACAUCCUGGGGCUGGAGAAGGUCCCAAGGGUACGGCUGUUCGCCGUCUAAAGUGGUACGUGAGCUGGGUUUAGAACGUCGUGAGACAGUUCGGUCCCUAUCUGCCGUGGGUGUCGGAGACUUGAGAGGAGUUGCCCCUAGUACGAGAGGACCGGGGUGAACGCACCACUGGUGGACCUGUUGUCGUGCCAACGGCAGUGCAGGGUAGCUAUGUGCGGACAGGAUAACCGCUGAAGGCAUCUAAGCGGGAAGCCCCCCUCAAAACCAGGUCUCCCUUGAGGGCCGUGGAAGACCACCACGUCGAUAGGCCGGAGGUAUAAGUGCAGCAAUGCAUUCAGCUGACCGGUACUAAUCGCCCGAAAAA
rnacentral:rRNA from 1 species